AGACCCUCGGCAUGGACGCGUUGACCCCAGUGAUGAUGGUGGACAUGGUCAGUACCGUGGUGAUACCUAGCGACACUCUGGCGGGGACGGCUCGGCGGUCGAUCCAG